UUCAGACAGAUCACAUUCCUUCUUCCCUUUCCUCCCGAUUCUCUCUGUUCAUUGGAAACGUUUCGUUUCCUUCCGAUUUCUCUCAAAUUCAAUCGACUGCUUCGACUUUGCUUCUCCGCUCGCUUCUCUGGUAAGGAUCUCCACUGCCGCUUUCUUUUUUUUUUUUCCAUUAAAGAUUCAUAUUGCAAAUUUUCUUCUUUAAUUUUGUCAAACAACUCUUUAAUAUUUGUGGUUCUUUUAAUAUUUGUGAUUCUUUUACGAGAUAAAACAUAAAAUCAUGUACUCUGAGUCAGAUCUGGAAUCCACCGUAACACUCAUUUAGGGAAAAGUCACCAAAAUCUAAGAUCCGUGUAAUCCUUUUUCGGUAACAAACGACCAAUAAAAAAUAUUAAAAAAGAAACCCAGAAAAUCCUCUGUGAAAAUAAAAAAACGAAAAGAGAUCAAAACCCUAGAUCUUGAAAUAAGACUGAUUACUUCUCCCUGGUUUUUCUGUAAUUAGGUUGUGUGGAGUUUUGGAUUGGAGAAUCUUGAAAUGAAUCUGUAAAAUGCAAUCUUUGUAAUGUUAUUAAAGUUUGAGCUCACCAUUACAACGUAAUGGCCUCAAACCCCAUGGAGGAGUCCUAAUCAUAAUGUAUCUUUGUUUUUUAACUGGGUACAAAUUGCAAUGGUGGUGGUUCUGCUAUUUGGGGUUUGAGGACUAAUUAUAAUGUAUAUAAUUUUUAUUUAGUUUGAGGACAAACUACAAUUGUAUAAUGGAUUGUAUUAUUACAGGUUCUCUGCGUAUUAUUAUGUUUGUUAUUUCAAUUAUUCAGGAUUUAGAGUUAAAAUUCCAAUGUAUAUCAAUUUUUAUUGGAUGAGAAGCCUAUUAGGUUCUAUUAUUAUUAUUAUAUAUUUUUUCAAUUAGUUGUACUCAAAUUAUGGGUUUUGGAUCUUGUGGUUGUAUUCCAUAUUACAAUAUGUACGUAAUAUUUGUAGGCGUCAAGUCUGUUUAUUUAUCUUCUAAUAUUGUUAUUAAGUUUUGUUAUACUUUUUACAGGUUGUAUAUAAUAUUUAUAAGUUUUGAGCCUAUAGGAUUGUAUUUUUAUUAUUUUCGUCAUGAUAUUACCCACAUUAUUGUAUUUGAAUAAUGGAUUUCGGAUCAUUUGGUUGUAUUCCGUAUUACAAUAUAUAUGUAAUAUUCAUAGGUAUCAAGCCUAUUGAAUUGUUUUAAUAUUGUUAGGAAGUUUUGUUAUAUUUUUUACGGGUUGUAUGUAAUAGUUAUAAAGUUCGAGCCUAUUGCGUUGUAAUAUUAUUAUUAUCAUGAUGAUAUGACACACAAUAUUGAUUUUGAAUUAUGGGUUUCAAAUAUUUUAGUUUCAUUCAACAAUAUAAUGAAUGUAACGAAGCCCAUUGACUUGUAUUUUUUGUCUAUAUAAUUAAACUAUAUUCUUAUUAUUAUGAAG
rnacentral:lncRNA from 1 species